rnacentral:rRNA from 1 species
CACGUAGGAGGCGAGCGUUGUCCGGAAUCAUUGGGCGUAAAGAGCGCGCAGGCGGCUUGGCAAGUCGGGUGUGAAAUCCCGGGGCUCAACCCCGUGACUGCAUUCGAUACUGUCAGGCUAGAGGUAGGUAGGGGAGAUCGGAAUUCCUGGUGUAGCGGUGAAAUGCGCAGAUAUCAGGAGGAACACCAAUGGCGAAGGCAGCUCGCUGGGACGGUACUGACGCUGAGGCGCGAAAGCGUGGGGAGCAAACAGG